GAAAGCGUUGUGCAAUCUGGAGGGAACCUCCAGGUUUCCACGCUGGUUGUGACGGAGACUUAGAAGCGGGUGAGAUGGAUAUCAGUGUGCAGGAGCCCACAAACAGAUCCAAGACCUGAAACACAAGGAGAGUGGAAAGAAAGCGUUGUGAAAUCUGGAGGGAACCUCCAGGUUUCCACGAAGGCUGUAAUGGAUAGUUACAAGCGGGUGAGAUGGAUAUCAGAGUGCAGGAGCCCAGGAAGAGAUCCAAGACCUGAAACACAAGGAGAGUGGAAAGAAAGCGUCGUGAAAUCUGGAGGGAACCUCCAGGUUUCCACGCUGGUUGUGACGGACACUUAGAAGCGGGUGAGAUGGAUAUCAGAGUGCAGGAGCCCAGGAAGAGAUCCAAGACCUGAAACACAAGGAGAUUGGAAAGAAAGCGUUGUGAAAUCUGGAAGGAACCUCCAGGUUUCCACGCCGGCUGUGAUGGAUACUUACAAGCGGGUGAGAUGGAUAUCAGAGUGCAGGAGCCCAGGAAGAGAUCCAAGACCUGAAAAAUAAGGAGAUUGGAAAGAAAGUGUUGUGCAAUCUGGAGGGAACCUCCAGGUUUCCACGCCGGCUGUGACGGAAACUUAGAAGCGGGUGAGAUGGAUAUCAGUGUGCAGGAGCCCAGGAAGAGAUCCAAGACCUGGAACAUAAGUGGAGUGGAAAGAAAGCGUUGUGCAAUCUGGAGGGAACCUCCAGGUUUCCACGCUGGUUGUGACGGACACUUAGAAGCGGGUGAGAUGGAUAUCAGUGUGCAGGAGCCCACAAACAGAUCCAAGACCUGAAACACAAGGAGAGUGGAAAGAAAGCGUUGUGCAAUCUGGAGGGAACUUCCAGGUUUCCACGCCGGCUGUGACGGACACUUAGAAGCAGGAGAGAUGGAUAUCAGAGUGCAGGAGCCCAGGAAGAGAUCCAAGACCUGAAACACAAGGAGAGUGGAAAGAAA
ensembl:lncRNA